CCAAGGGUUCCUGUCCAACGUUAAUCGGGGCAGGGUGAGUCGACCCCUAAGGCGAGGCCGAAAGGCGUAGUCGAUGGGAAACAGGUUAAUAUUCCUGUACUUGGUGUUACUGCGAAGGGGGGACGGA
rnacentral:rRNA from 1 species